AGGGUGCGCUCAGAGCGGGGGGCCCAAGAAAUGAGCUCUCUGUUUACACCGCACCCCACAGGAAUCAGGGCCAGUGUGAUGGGGCGGGAGGGCACAUAGCAGCUGUGCCCCUCUGCACACACACAGGCCCCACAUGU
ensembl:snoRNA